rnacentral:rRNA from 1 species
UUUAAUAAGUCAGUGGUCAAAACCUGAGGCUUAACUUCAGGAUUGCUGUUGAUACUGUUAAACUUGAGGCUGGGAAGGGCAAGCGGAACUAUCGGUGUAGUCGUAAUAAGCGCUGAUAUCGAUAGGAACACCAAAAGCGAAGGCAGCUUGCUAGAACAUGCCUGACACUCAUGGACGAAAGCGUGGGUAGCGAAUGGGAUUAGAUACCCCAGUAGUCCACGCCCUAAACGAUGCACACUAGGUAUUGGGAGUAUCGACCCUCUCAGUGCCGUUGAAAAAAGCUAACGCGUUAAGUGUGCCGCCUGGGGAGUACGAUCGCAAGGUUAAAACUCAAAGGAAUAGACGGGGACCUGCACAAGUGGUGGAUCAUGUGGUUUAAUUCGAUGAUACGCGGCGAACCUUACCUGGAUUUGACAUAUAACUGCAAUCCCGAUGAAAAUCGGGACGCCUUCGAGGGUGUUAUACAGAUGCUGCAUGGUUGCCGUCAGCUCGUGCCGUGAGGUGUACCGUUAAGUCGGGUAACGAGCGAAACCCCUAUACUGCGUUAAAUGUACACAGUAGACUGCCUAGGUAACUAGGAGGAAGGUGGGGACGACGUCAAAUCAGCAUGGCUCUUACGUCCAGGGCUACACACAUGAUACAAUGGCCAGUACAAAAGGUAGCAAAGCCGUGAGGUGAAGCUAAUCCUAAAAAACUGGUCUCAGUUCGGAUUGUAGGCUGAAAUUCGCCUGCAUGAAGUUGGAAUCG